rnacentral:rRNA from 1 species
UACGUAGGCAGCGAGCGUUGUUCGGAGUUACUGGGCGUAAAGGGUGUGUAGGCGGUUGUUUAAGUUUUGUGUGAAAUCUCCCGGCUCAACUGGGAGGGUGCGCCGAAUACUGAAUGACUUGGAGUGCGGGAGAGGAGAGUGGAAUUCCUGGUGUAGCGGUGAAAUGCGUAGAUAUCAGGAGGAACACCGGUGGUGUAGACGGCUCUCUGGACCGUAACUGACGCUGAGACACGAAAGCGUGGGUAGCAAACAGG